UGACAAAUCAUCAACAACAGUUCAUAAGAGCAAUAUACAAAAUAAUACACUAACAAUCAAACAAAUACAAGUUAUUAACCAGGAUCCAACGUUUCUGUCACAGUCCUGGGUCAGCUGAUUCACUCUUUAUGUUUUUGAGUUCAGUUUGUUUUGUGAUUAUAGUUCUGGUUUCUGUUUCUGUGUCUUCACUGUGUCCCACGUCUCGUUACUUUGGACUCUGUGUAAUAUUUCCUGUUUUACUUUGACAGUCCUGUGUUACUGUUUCCUGUCUCAUGUGCGUAAUUGGUCCCAGGUGUGUUUCCCUCCUGUCUCCCGUUCCCUGAUUACUAAACUGCGUCCAUGCCACCGGCGCUCCUCAGCUGGAUUCCAGGAUUUCAGAGCAUCCAGCUGUGGUGUCUGCCCAACAAGGACGUGGUGCUGAAUGCAUCCAAACCCCUGCUGACUGUCUUUUCAGCUUCGGUCAAAGGUACAGUGUCCACUGUGAACCUGAGAGCAGGAUACAGCCAGAGCAAACACAAUUUCGCUUAAAGUUUGGACCAAAUUACCAUCCAACAUUUCAAGUUUUCCUGACUACAAAUCCAGAGAUUGUGACUCUGAUGGUCAAAGACCAAGAGGGGACAGAAACCUGGGAAUCAUCUGUUUACCUGCCAGCACCAAGAACAGAAACCUUAAUGAGGAAUGUCCCAGCUGAGGCCCGAGUCCUGAGAGGCUGUUCACUGUCCGCUCACAGUUUAUUGAAAGAGUGUCUGAAUCUGUUUUAAACAAACGUCUGGAUAAACUCCUGCAGCAGCAUGUUAUCAAUGAUCAGGAGAUGGAAUCAGUCAGAUCACAGCAGAGCAGAUAAAGCACGAGACGUGAUCGACACGAGGAAGUGAAGCCAGCUCACUGCUGAUC